rnacentral:snRNA from 1 species
GUGCUUGUUUCGGCAGUUCAUACACUAAAAUUGGAACAAUACAGAGAAGAUAGCAUGGACCUAUGCAAACAUAACCCCCAAAUUCAUGAAGUGUUACAUUUCUGG